ACUGGGGCAAAAAGGAGCCUAACAAUUCUUUCUCUAUUCUCCCUGCCCCACAUCUAUAAGUCAGAGGGAGAUAGAGGUGAUUAUAAAACCAGCUGACCAGGAAGGGACAGGCGACUUGCAGACUCAGGUGAACUUCUCAGCAUUGCAAUACCCCUGCUAGUGGUCCUGCUGCCCGCACGUUAUGAGGGCCUGUCCCACGUAUAGACUGCCUUUCGAAAGCAGGCAGCAGACUAGAAGCUGUACAGGAACGUGCAGGUGGAUUUUUUAUUUGCCACUAACGAUACCUGCGAGGACUGAACUACUUCUACUAGGAACCAAACUCAGGUCUUCUGACUCAGAUUAGGCUGUCACUGAUUAGGCAAUAAUAGAUAAACGUGUGUACACACCCAAACACACACACACAUAAAACACAGACACACACACAGAAUGAUCCCUGUGAUCUAUAUCAACCAAAAGACUUUUAGUGAUUACCCUAUAGCUAGGCUAGUAGAGCAUGACUGAUAUGUUUCUCUUAAAUGUACUUUUUUUUGUCUAAGAUUUGGAUAUUUUGUCUAGAUAAAUAUCUAUAUAAGUUAACUGUUCAAUGCCUUGUAAGUUUUUAUAGUUUGUGUUAAGUAUUAACUCAUCAGUAGUCUUCUGUCUGGCUAAUUCUCCACCAAUGCAUGCUUCCUCUUUCCAUUUC
rnacentral:lncRNA from 1 species